ACUAGGAGAGGGGGCGGAGCAAAAAAGAUAUCGUGAACCAGUGGGGAUUAAACCAAAGCCCUGCAGGCAGGGCGGUGCUUAGUGAACAGUGGUUAUGUAAAUAGAAUACAGUGUUAAGCAGGGGGGAUUAAACCAAUGCCCUGCAGGCAGGACGGUGCUUAGUUAACAGUGGUUAUGUAAAUAGAAUACAGUGUUAAGCAGGGGUGAUUAAACCAAUGAAACAGAAGGGGUUUUAGAAGCAGAAUUAGAAGCAGACCAACACCAGACAGCCCAGGGAAAGAGCCCUGUGUGUUAGUCCUCUUCCACAGGUACUCAUUUCCCCCCCAUCUACCUCCUUGAUUUAUUUUCUUUUCUUUUUAUUUAUUUAUUUUAUUUUUGAUAGAUAUGCAGAGAGAGAGACCAGAGCACUGCUCACCUCUGGCUUAUAGUAGUGUGUGGGAUUGAACCUGAGAUUUUGGAGCCUCAGGUCAGGCAUGAGAGUGUUUGCAUAACCAUGAUGCUGUUUCCUCUACCGAGUUGUUUUCUUAGAAGAACCUGAGCAGAAUGUUCUAAUAGAAGGCAGCGUGUACAGUAGUCAUAGUGGCAGAAGUCAGAGAUGCAUCUCCGUCAUUCCAUUCAAAAGAAAACUACCUAGAGUGUACGUGGGCACCCUUGUCCCUGAGAGGGUGGUCUUUGCUCACAGAACCAGCUGUCCUCAUAGAAAUGCCUCUGACAGCUGCAGGAGGUCCAAAUCCAUAGACUCUGCGUAGCUGCAGGCAGGCACAGUCUGCACGCCAUCUGUUGUGACAUCUAGGUUGGGUUACAACAGCAGGACCCACUGUUUGAGACCAGCUCCAUGUAUCACUUUAGAAAGAUCACUCAUAGCUGUGUCGCCUAAUCCAGGCUUCCCAGGUGGCCCAAGAAGGACCUACUCUAAUCUCCUGGACAAUCAUUAUUAGUUUGUAAAUUAUCUUUAUUUAUUUAUUGGAGAGAGUCAGUCAGAAAUCAAGAGGAAGAGGGAGAUAGAGAGGGAGAGAGACACAGAGACACCCGCAGCCCUGCUUCACCACUCUCAAAACUUUCCUCCUGCAGGUGGGGACCAGGGGCUUGAACCUGGGUCCUUGCACAUUGUAACAUGUCCAUGUAACAUGCACCACCACCUGGCCCCCUAGUGCAAUCUGUCAAUAACCAGAUGCUGUGAGUUGGCAGUUAGGGCAGCCCUAUUUCUGAACUCAGGUAGUGAAAUCAAAACACUGCUUUCCAGUUGCUGUGCUGGUUAGUGUCCUCACGCCCUAAGGGAAGAGAGAGAGUACCACUGCCUGUGUAGAGGGAAGAGAGUGUACCACUGCCUGUGUAGAGGGAAGAGAGUGUACCACUGCCUGUGUAGAGGGAAGAGAGUGUACCACUGCCUGUGUAGAGGGAAGAGAGUGUACCACUGCCUGUGUAGAGGGAAGAGAGUGUACCACCGCCUGUGUAGAGAGAAGAGAGUAUACCACCGCCUGUGUAGAGAGAAGAGAUGUACCAUCGCCUGUGUAGAGAGAAGAGAGUGUACCACCGCCUGUGUAGAGAGAAGAGAGUGUACCACCACCUGUGUAGAGAGAAGAGAGUGUACCACUGCCUGUGUAGAGGGAAGAGAGAGUGUACCACUGCCUGUAUUAGGGAAGAGAGAGUACUACCACCUGUGUAGAGGGAAUAGGGAGUGUACCACUGAGGGUGCAGACUCACUGUAUUCGAUGUCCCACUGUGCAUCUCAUCCCAACUCUAGCUUCAAUGACUUCACGUUGGUGGCUUGAAGCCCAUGGCUGGGAGUAAUGACACCACAAGAACAGACAAACACUCCAGCUGGAUCCCUCCACCCUGAUGCUGUGAACUCACUUGCCAGUGUUAUCACCUGAACAAACUGGCCUCACUGCAUAGGCCCCGCCCUUGGACUCACCAUCAGCACUCCCAGCCACCACAGAGGGUGAGAGGCUUUCAGGCUCAGUCUCCUGCGACUUCUUUUAGUGUUUGUAUCGAUUCAGACCCGGUCACAGUGUGGAGAAUCUACCACUUUCUGUGGCUAUAGCCCCUUGAGGAAGACUGCACAGUGAAUUGGCUAUGCCGUGCUGUGCAAGCAGUGAUAAAUGUGUUUGAAGUUACCAAGUGUCUCCUUGCUAGCUCGCGCCCACAGAGUUGUCCAAGAAGGAAACACCUUCUUUGUCUCUGACAUUCACCGGCCCGAGCUACAUAGAACUUGACAGACUGGUUUGAUCUCAUUUCUGCUAUCACGGUCACUCAUUUAUUCUGCUGAACCCUCGACCCAAAUCAGACAGAAGAAAACAGAAGCAUUCCGUCCUCAUGCGGCUCCCACAGCACGCACCCCAAGUGCAGCCCUGCUGGUCCUGACAGCCUCUCCUUGGCCCAGAACAUAUCGACCAGACGUACGUCCUUUGCUUCUAUCUACACACUGUAAAUAAAGCCCAAGAAGAG